UGGCUCAGGAUGAACGCUGGCGGCGUGCUUAACACAUGCAAGUCGAACGAAGAUGCCGGAGUGCUUGCACUUUGGCAGACUGAGUGGCGGACGGUGAGUAACGCGUGGGUAACCUGCCUUAUACAGGGGGAUAACAGUUGGAAACGACUGCUAAUACCGCAUAAGCGCACGGUAUCGCAUGAUACAGUGUGAAAAACUCCGGUGGUAUAAGAUGGACCCGCGUCUGAUUAGCUUGUUGGUGAGGUAACGGCCCACCAAGGCGACGAUCAGUAGCCGGCCUGAGAGGGUGAACGGCCACAUUGGGACUGAGACACGGCCCAAACUCCUACGGGAGGCAGCAGUGGGGAAUAUUGCACAAUGGGGGAAACCCUGAUGCAGCGACGCCGCGUGAGUGAUGAAGUAUUUCGGUAUGUAAAACUCUAUCAGCAGGGAAGAUAAUGACGGUACCUGACUAAGAAGCACCGGCUAAAUACGUG
rnacentral:rRNA from 1 species